AUGCUGAAGACUGAACUUCGCUCUCGACCUCACACUGCCAACAUGGACACAGUUACUCACCAAAGGAGGCCGAUAACUCGCUCCUGCAGUUUUGGGGACGCACUGAGCAGCAGCAGCACCUCUCAUGCUUUAACCCAUAGCACACACCAACACCAGGAAGAAGAGGGGUCGCCACGACAACGACGCAUUACCAUUCCAUCAUAUGUGCCUCGGUCUAAGGAUCAGAAUGGAAACUUUCCUGAGAAGGAUGUGGACAAGCAAGUCACCAAAUGUCUCAGGGAGCUGAACACAGAUGAAGUAUGCACGUGGUUUACCAAUAUUGGACUGCAGAAAUGUCUCCCUUUCAUCAAAGAAGCCAAACUGCGCGGCGCAGACAUAGCUUCAGUGGAUGUGGGCACGUUGGACCUCCUCCAGGUCACCACACUGGGAGAUAGAGAGCAGCUGCUGUCGGCUAUUUAUAAUGAGCUGCACCCUCCCAGCGCCAUCACCCAGAGACUCGACUCUCUGCUCGAAUCUCCAGGGCCCAAUAAUGUGGAGACAUUCACUGCAACACUGGUGUCAAUGAGCAAGUCUACCUCUGCUCCACAUGUGAACUGCCUGAGCAUGAAUGGACGUUCCCUCAAACUCAGCCAGAACUACAUGGUGCAGAGGAAUUCUCAGCUGAUAGAGAUCACUAUUAAUGCAUCAGAGCGGAUCGUUCAUCUCAGAACCCCAAAGGAAACAACAGUAGGAAAAAUCAUGGAUUCGUGCAUCAAAAUGCUGGGAGUGGCAGAAGAUCAAAGUCUAUUGUCACUGAAAGAAAAGCAAGGUUCGUCAGAGGAGCUCCCACCAGAUCAGCAGAUUGGGAGUCUACUUGCAUCGACAUCAGAGAACAGACAGUUGGAGCUGCAUUUGUGUAAAACGGCGAAACCAACGACUACUGUCUCCCAAAACAGUCCAGAAGUCAAUAGCUCCGAUGAAAAUGCUAACAUCAACAAAAAUGUCCAGUGGAACCAGCCAGCGAAAGAAGAGAGGAUUAGGGAGCUGAACCAACAGGUGGACUCUCUGCAAAGCGUCAUCUUUCAGGUCCAGGAGCUCCACCACGGCCUGGUAGCUUUUUGUUCAGAGUUAAAGAACAUGGAUGGAGAUGUGAGUAUAGACAGGCUUGGCUCAGCUGAGCUGGAGCAGAGGCUGGAGUCGGUGAAGAGCCGACUGAGCGAUAAGAGGCAGAGCCUGCAGAGCCUCAGAGACAACAACAACAACAACUCAGCUGCUCACAAGAAGAAGCAGCUGGAAGUUCGUCUCUUGGAGAAGAUGAAGCUGAACUGCCAAGUGUUUAAGGAGGAGAUUUCCAUGGUACAUCUCAACCGACAGGCCGCUCACCUACAAAAUGCUUUGCAGGAAAGCAAGGAGAAAACUCGGAAAAAGAGUCUGGCCAUCGGUAGCCUGAGCCAGCUGGUGUCGCUGCAGUCUCCUGCCAUGCUCCUGGUUGUACAGGAGAAGCGGGGCCUGGAUGGCCAGUAUGGCUUUGCAUGUCGCUGCAGAGAGGGCAGCGGACUUGUGGUGGUCAAGGUUGACAACACUCACCUCUGUGUAGAGGACAGACUGGUGGAGGUGAACGGUGUGCCGGUAGUGAACUCCACACAGGAAGAACUUUCUGACCUCCUGCUGCAGGGACCCAGCGCUCAAAUAGUUGUUCUUCGCCAGCCCCCGCCCACACUCACCUGCAAGCAGCACCUGGUCAACACCAAUCCCAUGCAAACAAGCUGCCCAGAAAGUGAAGUGGUCACCAUGGAAACCCCUCCACGACGGAAAGUGAUGGCCAUCUGA
ensembl:lncRNA